CCUACGGGAGGCAGCAGUAGGGAAUAUUGCUCAAUGGGGGAAACCCUGAAGCAGCAACGCCGCGUGGAGGAUGAAGGUUUUCGGAUUGUAAACUCCUUUUGUUAGAGAAGAUAAUGACGGUAUCUAACGAAUAAGCACCGGCUAACUCCGUGCCAGCAGCCGCGGUAAUACGGAGGGUGCACGCGUUACUCGGAAUCACUGGGCGUAAAGAGCGCGGAGGCGGGAUAGCAAGUCAGAUGUGAAAUCCUAUGGCUUAACCAUAGAACUGCAUUUGAAACUGGUCUUCUAGAGUAUGGGAGAGGUAGGUGGAAUUCUAGGUGUAGGGGUAAAAUGCGUAGAGAUCAAGAGGAAUACUGAUUGCGAAGGCGACCUGCUAGAACAUAACUGACGCUGAUGCGCGAAAGCGUGGGGAGCAAACAGGAUUAGAUACCCGUGUAGUC
rnacentral:rRNA from 1 species